rnacentral:tRNA from 1 species
GCCCAUGUGGCGGAACUGGUAGACGCGCUACGUUCAGGACGUAGUGAUCUUAUGAUCGUGGAGGUUCGAGUCCUCUCAUGGGCA